UACAGAGGUCUCAAGCGUUGUUCGGAUUCAUUGGGCGUAAAGGGUGCGUAGGUGGGCUAGUAAGUCCGUGGUGAAAUCUCCAAGCUUAACUUGGAAACUGCCGUGGAUACUAUUAGUCUUGAAUAUUGUGGAGGUAAGCGGAAUAUGUCAUGUAGCGGUGAAAUGCUUAGAUAUGACAUAGAACACCGAUAGCGAAGGCAGCUUGCUACACAAUCAUUGACACUGAGGCACGAAAGCGUGGGGAUCAAACAGG
rnacentral:rRNA from 1 species